AUGAGACGAGGCAGUAAUCCUCAGUAUUUUCUGCAAGUAGAAAACAGGAGGAGAAAUGUUUUCGUGACCCAGCUGGGACAAGACAGGAAAGAAGAGGGUGAGGAUGUCUCUCCCAUUCCUGUCGUUAAUGAGGUCUCUGUUGGUGAGAUUAUGCAGCAUAACAAAAAGGCGCUGCAUAGAUUCCAGCUUUUGAAGAAAAGAGAGGAAUGUGACCAGAUGACUGUUGAACUGAAUGCAAAGAAGCAAGAGUUUAAAGAGAAGUUGGAACUGCUGACUAAGCGAAGUGGGGAACUCAACCAAAAGGGUCAAAAAUUCAGGGCUCAUGCUCUUGGAUUUGAAUUUUAUCUUCAAGAGUGUGAAAAGAAGAAACAGCGUUAUGUGGAGAAGUUCAAGACGGAACGAAAACUUAACUUGAUAAAGAGGCAUGAGAUCAUCAAACUGAAAGAGGAGAUUAAAAAACUCCAAGCCAGCCUAUCUGGGUUAUCAGGAAGACUCUGUUGUUAG
rnacentral:lncRNA from 1 species